rnacentral:rRNA from 1 species
AUUGCCCCAGUAACGGCGAGUGAAGCGGCAAGAGCUCAAAUUUGAAAGCUGGCCCCCUCGGGGUCCGCGUUGUAAUUUGCAGAGGAUGCUUCGGGAGCGGCCCCCGUCUAAGUGCCCUGGAACGGGCCGUCAUAGAGGGUGAGAAUCCCGUCUGGGACGGGGUGUCCGCGCCCGUGUGAAGCUCCUUCGACGAGUCGAGUUGUUUGGGAAUGCAGCUCUAAAUGGGUGGUAAAUUUCAUCUAAAGCUAAAUAUUGGCCGGAGACCGAUAGCGCACAAGUAGAGUGAUCGAAAGAUGAAAAGCACUUUGAAAAGAGAGUUAAACAGCACGUGAAAUUGUUGAAAGGGAAGCGCUUGCGACCAGACUCGCCCGCGGGGUUCAGCCGGCAUUCGUGCCGGUGUACUUCCCCGCGGGCGGGCCAGCGUCGGUUUGGGCGGCCGGUCAAAGGCUCUCGGAAUGUAACGCCCCCCGGGGCGUCUUAUAGCCGAGGGUGCAAUGCGGCCUGCCCGGACCGAGGAACGCGCUUCGGCACGGACGCUGGCGUAAUGGUCGUAAGCGACCCGUCUUGAAACACGGACCAAGGAGUCUAACAUCUACGCGAGUGUUCGGGUGUCAAACCCGUGCGCGCAGUGAAAGCGAACGGAGGUGGGAACCCCCCGGGGUGCACCAUCGACCGAUCCUGAUGUCUUCGGAUGGAUUUGAGUACGAGCGUAGCUGUUGGGACCCGAAAGAUGGUGAACUAUGCCUGAAUAGGGCGAAGCCAGAGGAAACUCUGGUGGAGGCUCGCAGCGGUUCUGACGUGCAAAUCGAUCGUCAAAUUUGGGGAAU